rnacentral:lncRNA from 1 species
CUUACAUUUACUUAUUUUUUUUAUUCAGUGACAAUUGUUUUUUCCUGGGAAAUGAAGGUAUGUAAUUGUUUUUAUCUGCCUCAAAAGUGACUUUGAAUCUGCAAAAUAGAGUAAAACUUACAUUUUUAUUUCUUAGGUACCUGAGAAUCCCACUCAAGCCUCAUGAUCUACUUGUGCUAUUCUGAUCAUUAGCUCACAAGACGGGCUCACAGGUCCCUGCUCCAGGCUACAGCAGCCAGUGGAAGCACAACACCAGUAUCACAAAGGCAAGCCCUUGGAAUGAGAUGAAGGAGUCAAAAUGACUGCUUUGCUUCUGCUGUAUGUGUCUUGGAAAUGGAUUUUUCUAUGAAGUCUGUGGAAGCUUGUUACCAUGUUAAAUGCCCAGCUUUCAUUAAAUCUACACCUGAAGGAAACAUGGAAGAGGUCUUUUCCAACUGCUGUAUGAAAUCUCUAACAGCUCAGGUGUAUGUGUUUACUAUGAAUUGAACUCAAAGCUCUUAAGUAAUGCUGUGUGUUUAGCCUGUUUACUCCCCAAAGUAGCUGGAGAAUUAUCUGUGCAUUUUCCACAUUGUUUUCAGUGUGCUGCUUUGUUUGAUGGUGGUUUAUUAAUGAUACUUGUGAUUUAUUACUGUCACUUUAUUAGAUUAUUUGCAAAUCGGUGACAAAGCACUAUGUGGAUCAUGCCUUGUUAGUCAUAAAAGCACUCAAGAAGCCAUGAAAAUCAGUUAAGCUUGAACCUAUUGAAUGAAGGAGCAUAGUGCUCUCUAUUGAUCAGGAGCCUUUAGAUAUGUAAUGAAUAGUAGUACCUUUGUAGCACUGUCAGAUAGUGUUUUCCUUUGGAUCUGAUAAAUUACACCCUUUUGUACCAGUGGCUUGAGAUUUGGCAUAAAACAUUCUUGUAUUAGUAUUUCUUUCAGCUCCAGUACUGGGGUGAUCUUACGUGACCGAGGCAGAUAAAUGUUAGAAGAAAAAUUGAUAUUUGCUCUCCCAACAUAGUGUUGACCAUUGAAUUAACACUGAUCUGACUUUCCUAUGUGUGCAGGAGACUGAGGGCUUGAUUACAAAUGAUUAGCAGAACAUUUUUACAGCCUGUGUGCAUG